AUGGCCAGCUGGUCUCGCUCCCGGGCUUCUCUCCUUCACUAUGUUGCGGUUCCGUCCUUUCUAAGACAAACACUCCUUGCUUUUCCAGCUUGGUACAUUCGUCCGCUUAUGACACUGGAAAGAGCCCAGGAAGUAACAGGGUUGAUGGUGGCAGCACCAAAGGAAAUUGAAGGAACUCUGUUGAGAAGAGGUGGGAGAGGUGACAGCUGCCUAGCCUGCCUUGGGAGGAGGCUUUCCAAGUCAGAGCAGGAUGGUGCUGACAUCCCCUUCUGCAGAGAGGUUGCUCACAGAACCACAAUUCUUCAUGAGCAAGAGGAGUCCGAGAGCCCUCAAAAUUGCAGCAACAGCAGAGGGCCCUGGCUGGGGCUGCAGCAGACACCUCAGCAGGCCACAAGAGCUGGAGGUAUUCCCUGGAAGGAUUCGGCCGGCAACCCUCCGUCCGGGGCAGCUUCUCCACCUCCCUCCUCCAAGGCAAGGCGCUUUCCCCAAGGCUCUGGGCUUGCUGGCUUCACUUCUUGGCGACUAACCAAGGACUCUGGCCCUUGAGGAGGUAUAGAGAAGGGGCAUUUGAGAAGGAAGCUCUCUGGUGAUCGGCGCAUCCGGGGGUGCCUCCCUGACCAGGACAUCCCCUGCCCCCAGCCACUGGCUGCCAGACUCCCAGCCCAUCAGAGUUGGGAGGUGCUCUCUUUACCCUCUUCCUUCCAUCACCAUCCCACUUGUCCUCCCCUACCUGAGAAGCGAACAUGGCCCAGGCUCGAGCUCACUGGAAGGUUCUAUCGAGGAAAGGAGCUUGAGCCCAGGGUGGGGACUGCCUGCAUGCAGGACCAGCUCCUCCGUCUCUGCUUUGUAACACCCCUCCCAGCUGACUCGGUCCUCUGCUCAUUCUAUCCACACUGGCCAUCGCAGGAGCUUCUGUCAUCAGCAAUCCUGCCCUAGCUGGCUGCACCCCUCACUUGGCACACUCGUCCCUGAUGGGUGUGCCCCUGGUGGUUCUGGUGAAGCUCCUGGAGGGUGGAUGAGUGUGCUCUUUGGUGUGCUCUGGUGAAACUCCUGGAGGAGCUGGGUCUUACAGUCCUAGGGGCCUCUUCCCUCUCCUUCCCAGCCUGGCAGGAAGCACAGUGUCUGCACACAGCAGCUGCUUAACGAAGCUGGCUGAUAACUCAGCAGGUGGUAGAUGUGUAUGAGCCCCCAUCGAUGGCUGGAUUGUAGGGGAAACACUGAGCUAGGUCCCUCCUGAGCCUGGGUGUAAGAAAGUUCCUGCCCUUUAAGAGUUCACUAUCAAAAAUGGAAGAGCCCCUUUGCACACUCUCACAUAAAGUAGAGGAAGAAAAGAACACUAAGUUCCAGACAGUUGCAGGGAGGAGAGACUCCACCAACUCUGGAGCCCAGAACUGUCUUUCCAGGGUCAUGGAAUCUGAGCUGGGCCUUGAAAGGAGGCAGAUAAGAAGCAAUGGCAUCUGCAGGUAAGGGUCUGGCUCGGGCAAGCGUGUGGAAGGACAGCAGAGUGCAUGCGCAAGGCGAGUGGCAGGCCUUGGAAAGUUGGUGGGCCCGCUGGGGUGCAGGGGGUGCAGGGGGCCGUGGCCUUCUACCUCUCUCUGAGUCUCCUUCCACAGGUGCUUGGCUAUUCUCAGAGAUGAACUUUUCUAGCAGACAGCGGUCACUUUGCAUAUGAACUGCACCGAAUUCUGCCUGAGUGGCUAAGACAUGGCUCCCCUCCCUGCACCAUCCUCCUGCUUCCUUCACCGCAGUAAGGGGCACCCUGCUUCAGCGACCCCUUGGGAGUUCUGCUCCUUUGAGAGGUGAGCAGCUGCUCCUGCCCUUGCUUUCCUUCUCUGCUCCACAUCUUGGUGUGGUGUCCUCUUUUCUGAAUACUCACAGGGAGCCUGCUCUUUUUUUUUGAAAUGAUGUGGCGUCUUGGGUGCUCGACAUCUCAAGCUGGCUGACAAUGUGUCCAAGUCCAGGGCAAGAGGAGAGACAUGCUGGGGGAGUGUGUGGGGUGGUGCAUGGGAGGGACACAGAGGGCCUGAAAGGAGGGAGGUGGGUGGGCCUCCCCAUGCCAGUGCAGUGUCCCUGAACGUUUGUGGGGCUUUGGGGAUUCCCGCGUGUGUCAGGUGGCCAGUGCUGUAUUGCUUUCUCUCUGAUGCAUCCUCAGUGUUGAGACCAAUGUGAGAAACAAGCCCUACAGCUGUUCUUGCCCCAAGGCGAGCUGACCCCACUCACCCUACUCCUGGAUGGCACAGGCCUACUCCGAGUUUUGUUAUUCGGGGUUACAAAGCACACACAUGCCACACACAGUUUUGCAAAACCAAUGCCAUGCAUAAUACUGUCACAGCCAAAUAACCCUAGGUGGUGGGGGGCACGGAGUACUCCAGCCUCCACAAUCCUCCCAGGAGGUGACCUGCCUGUGGGGCCAGAGGGCCUCAGGGUGUCGGAGCUGGAAAGUUUUAUGGAGGUCACCCAUGUCCAACUUCUUCACUUGACGCUUGGGGAAACUGAGACCUGGAGUAAGGUGCC
ensembl:lncRNA